AUUGCUUCUCGGCCUUUUAGCUAAGAUCAAGUCAGUAUCUGUUCUUAUCAGUUUAAUUAAAUUUGAAAAUUUGCAACAAAGUGCUAGCAACUUAAAAUGGUACUUGUACUGAUAAUGAUUUAUAUAAAAUACCUAAU
rnacentral:snRNA from 1 species